UACAGAGGGUGCGAGCGUUGUCCGGAAUCACUGGGCGUAAAGGGCGCGUAGGCGGCUUGGUAAGUAGGGGGUGAAAUCUUGCGGCUCAACUGCAAGGCUGCCUCCUAAACUGUCAGGCUUGAGCACAGUAGAGGCAGGUGGAAUUCCCGGUGUAGCGGUGGAAUGCGUAGAGAUCGGGAAGAACAUCGGUGGCGAAGGCGGCCUGCUGGGCUGUUGCUGACGCUGAGGCGCGACAGCGUGGGGAGCAAACAGGAUUAGAUACCCCCGUAGUCC
rnacentral:rRNA from 1 species